UGAAAGUACACUAAAUUAUACUGUGCUGGUGAGAUAGGGGUGAGUUAGCACCACCGUGUGGCAUGUUUUGGGUAUUAUUUUGUAACUUCAUCGUUUGUUUUGCAAUUGUAUUGAUUUUAUAUUCUUUGUUUUAUAAUAAACGACAUAUAUAUUU